AAAAUCACUAUUAUAAAAAAUGCCUAGAUAUAUCUAAAUGUAGCCAAGGGUCACAAGAGGAGAUGGAUAAUUCUAAAUAAGCUAAAAGUUAGCCAAAAGUCUUGUAAGUCGCUUUGAUAAAAGCAUCUGGUAAAUGCAUAAAUGUAAAGUGUAAAUGUAAAAGUAGCCACAAACGAUUAAUGAUUAAUCUCUACUUUCUUCUUUUUUAGAUUAAUAGCUUAUGUGUUUCUGAAAAUGUAACAAAAAAAAUAACUUAAAUGUUUUCAGGAAAUAGGCUUAACGAAAGAAAUAAAACAGGGAAAUUUAGCUAGGAAGUAGGUUAAACGGGCAAAAUAUUUUAUUGGAAAAGCUGUUGCAAAUAUUGUUUAAAUCUAAGCACCAUGAUAUCAAAAGUUACCAAAACAAAUCAAAAACUCUUUAGAAAUGGAUACACAUUGAUGAGAAACCAUGGCAAAAAUAACUGAAAAGGUAAUUUAGCUGUAGCUUGGAAUGAUUGUGAAUACAUCAAAAGUAGCUAAAAGUAAUCGAAACAUAGUAAAACUGGCAAUUAUGAUCCAAAAUUAAGUAAAAAUGCUGAAUAUUUUUCAUAAACACAUCACAGAAGAACCUAUACAAAAUUAUCAACAAAUGCAGAAAAAAAAAUACUCAAAGUGGAAAUUAUAGCAUAAGCUAGAGCAAAACCUAUAGUUAGCCAAAGGUUGUCACAAAAUUACUUUUUUAGUUUAAAAAUUAUUAACCGAAGAAAAAAGUCAAAGUUGACCCUCAAAUAGCUUGAAGUAGCCGAGAGGUGUUUUAUAAAAUAACAAUAAAAAAAGAAAAUAAAAGAGGAAAAACUUGGGCAAGAGUAAAAUUAAAAGUUAGUACUGGCACCUAAAACUGACUAAAACGAACUCUGAAAUAUUCUAAAUUUGCCCCUAAAAGUCAUUUGAAAUACCACUGAACCAAUUGCACUGAGGCAAAUAUGCCACUAUGAACAUGCACUUUUUAACCUGUUGUGUACAGUUUAAAUGAAACCAAAAACAAAGUGGCUUCUGACUGUAGUGUUUCACUCCAUUGUGGCAUUCUAAAGUGUUUCUAUUUAAAAAAGAAAACUUGUAUAACCUUUGUCUUAGCGUUUGUUUUUCUUUCUCUUUAUAAAACACGGGGUUUUUUUUUGCAUUUCAGUUUUUCGUUUGUUGUCAUUCUGUCUUCUGAGUCACACGGUGUGACAUGAAAAAUAUUUUUAGUGAAUUAUCAGUAUACGUGGUUUCAUUUUACAAAAAUCGAGACAACCUUCGACUCAAAAUGAAGUAAAACAUAGAACGGACGACUAUUUUCUUCCGUUAUUUCGAGGGUCAGAUAAGUUCACACAAACAAAUAGUGCUUUAAACUCGGCGGAGGCAGCAGCAGAAGAGGAGGGUGGUGAGGGGGCAUUUAAUAACGUCUGUUAAGCACCAUUCUGCUUCUCUACAUAUUAAAAAGUGCGACGUUUUUUUGUUUUCUCUUUCUGCUGUUUUUCUGUUUAUAAAAAAAAUAAAGCAGAGCGACCUCGGGGUCCGCUGAAAGCCGUGUUGCUGCUUUUAAAACGGGGACUUCACCUCAGCUGAACCCGGCGCCUGUGUCUGCUUCGCGGCGGCAGCGGCCGCUCAGUCUGUUGCCUGUGUCCCCGUUGAACCGAAGCUGUAGCCGGCGAUGAGAAGCAGCGAGGGGCGGGGGAGGGACGGAGGGGAGGACGGCGACACUUACCUCAUUUGUCCCUGCUAUAAGUGCACUACGAAACAGUCUCUCGGCUCAAAUAUUCACCGUGAGCUUGUUGUCUACCCCUCCGUCCACCGCUACUGUCGCUUUGUGUGAUUUUCUGCUGUUUUUCCCUGCUCUGAGAGCCCAGACAGACGCCGCGAAGGAAAUACAAAGAGGUGAAGUUGAACGAGCUGGAAGACGACUUGAACUUGACACCUGCUGUGAAUGAUGCAACCAUCCGGUCUUUAAAUUUGUCGUUGAUUUGUCCUUUGUCUCCGGGGCAGGUCAAAGAGGACAGAAGACAACGCGGCUCCCCCAGGCCUGGAUGUAAACUCAUGUGAAGAGGAUAUGUGGACAUACUGUGAGUGCAGCUACAGAGAGCUCCGCCACAAAGAUCGGCUCCAGAUCCUCCGGCUCUUUCAGGCCUGCAGAGCCCGGAGCUGCGGUGUGGCGUUCCACCUCGGAGACUCAGAGGGUGUCACUGCGUAAAAAAGUCGUCCCUCCGUGGAGCCAGUGUCCAGAUUCUGCUUAAAUAUUAAGCUUCAUCCAGCGACGUGUAACAAACGGCCGCCCGACGUGUCUGCAUCAGCUCAUCACAGUCAAACAAAGAAACCCAAGGAGAGGAGACGCAAUGGAGCGUCACGAGAGGAGGUGAUGAGGUGAAGCACGAGUCCCGCACGAAGUAUUACAGACUACAUGUAAAUACACAGUAUUAGAAGUACAUGUCAAAUUACUUUAAUUUACCAAACUGCUGCAGAGGAGAUACAAAAAAAAAAAACACACGUAAAGAAAACAAUCAGCAAGGAAAGUGUGAAAACAAAAAAAAACGUUUUUACUUUUAUACGUAUGAAUUAUAAAGAUGUUCAUGUUCAGUUUUUAUAGUUUUUUUUUUCUUCCAUGUGUUUUUCUGAGUCAGGAAAGUGUGAAGAUUUGUUGUCUUGACCUUCUGUUUCCCGGCAGAUCGAUUGUUUACCGUGUGGCAUAGGCGCCCCCUGCAGGAGAUUUACUGUCCUUUGGGGUGAGGUAGUAGGUUGUAUAGUUUUAGGGUCAUACCCAAGCUGUCAGAUGACUAUACAACUUACUGUCUUUCCUGAAGCGACCGUGUUGGCGUCGCUGAAGUCACUCUCACAAAUGUGACAAAAAUAUAAUAAUUAUUAUGUUCUUUAUGUUGGUAUUGUUGUUGUUGUUGUAUAUAUGUAAAUAAAUGGAAUUUACCUUUAAUUAAGAUCAAGUACAUUUGAGUGCCUUCACUUCAUUUAUUGGUAAAAAAAUACUAGAACCUCCUUAAAGAAAAAUACUAAUCAUUUUGUGCUGUCUUUGUUUGUAUUUCAGUGAUUAGAUGAGAUGAGUAUGAAGUAAAAGUGAGUACAUUUGUAGUAGUAUUUGUAGUUAAUGUAUCUGAAUAAAUGUAUGUUUUGUACUUGACCACGUAUCAGGGGCUGCUGGGCUUUAAAAGUACUCUGAGCACUUGUUUGAGAGUUGUUUGUCCUGUUGUGA